UUGUCAGGCAGAUUCAUAAGUAAGAUUAUGAAAGGACUGUUUAUCCAGACUGAGGAAAUAACCUGCCUUUUCUGAGGUACUUUUUCCAUGGGAAUCAUUCCAUUUCAGACCAUCUGACCUGGUUGCUGAAGGGCCUCUGGCGACGACGUUAACCUAGUUCAGGUUUGUGUGUACACUUGAAGGUUACCUAGGGUGGCUCCCUCAGUACGUUGUAAUUCUAGCUCACCCGCCCAACCCCCAGGAUAAAUGGAUAGCUGCUUUUUUGAAUAAUGAGAUCCAGACAAGACAUAUCAUCAAAACAAAGAUCAUUUGUUUGCACCCUUUUCCUGCCCCAGCAGCAUCUUAUUCCAGCCCUUGUCGCCAGACCACACCCUUUAAUGGAGGGAGCAUUAGCCACCCAUCGAGGCCUGACUCUGGCCACUGAGAGUUUCUAGGAAUGGAGCAAGGAGGAGAAAUUCGGGGUGCCAGGUUAGAUUUUUUCCAGCUCGUGGGUUCAACUUAUUCCUGUAGUGAACAGAAUUUGCCUGGAAACAACUUCACAUGCAGUUUUGUAAAUAGCCACAAGGUGAGGAUGUGGCUCCAUGAACAUGUCGCAGCAGGACUUGGUCACUCAGCUCUGUGUCCUGUCAUUCUCUUCCCUCUUCUUCAUGUGCUUCUCUGCCUUCUGACUUGUUGCCUUGAUGGUUGAUACAGAGCUUGGAUUCUGGAGUGACGCAGUCCUGUGUUUAAAUCUCUCUGAGCCUUGGUUUCCCCCUCCGUGAGCGAAGAGAAGAGGACUUGCCUCCCAUGGGAAACUCCCUCUGGCCUGCUGCUAGCAGUUGUGUAAAUUGAUGCCACCCCUUUAGAGGGCCACUUGGCAACGUAGGCUCAAGUAUGUGCAGAAGGCCGACGGCUUCGGGGGAACACUGACCUAGUGACAUCUCAAUGGCCUUGGGAGAAGAAAAGGCAGAGGUGGAGGCAUCCGCAGCCGCAAAGGCCCUGUCCUAUGGGCAGUGGAGCUGCAGGGAGCAGGAAGCGGACACCCCAGGCCUCACGAGUGGGGAGCAGGAGCAGCCAGCACUCCCGGAACCUGAGGGAGGGUUCGCAUCCCCGGGGUGGGGAACAGAGGGGCCCCCUGCCCCAGCCUGCUGUGAUGGGGCUGGCCCCAGCCCCUCUGGAGCCUACCAGCCGCAGGCUAACAGCACCAGGAGGGAGUCGGUAGCUGGUAGAUCUAAGCCCGCUCUUGGCUGCCUGCCUCCUCCUCCUGCAGCGACUGGACACCGUUUGCACUCUGUGGAAAGCCAGGGCGCAGGUUCUUCCCUGAGCAGAUUAAAAACUCAGAGGGAAGAGGCUAAAAUGAGUGACUUGCUUUGCCAGCGUUCAGUUCCUACCGAGAUGGAGGAGACCAGGCUUUCUGCCUCAGAGGAGCUACCUCAGACCCUCACGGAUCCCAGAGCCACAGAUCUCUGCUCAGGACAUGAGGCCGAUACCGAAGAUGACCCAUCCCCAGUUGAGUCACCACGGGUGCUGGACCUCAGCCAGCAGCCUCAGCGCUCAGGUUUCCCUUUCCCAACAAGAUGGAGGUCUGUAGUGAGCCAAGGCGCUGCUGCUCCUCCGUUCUCCAGCUGCAGCGUCUCUGCCUCCUCCCCGGGCAGCAGUCUCCAGGGUCACCAGGAUGAGGCAGAAGCUCAGAGUUGCUCCAUUGCCAAGGUCUCAUCCUCCCUGGAGCUGGUCGUGCCCCAGUCGGCCCCCUCCGUGGUGGGGCCAGGGCCACGGCUCCAGUGGCCACCACAGCCUGCGUCCUCCGGGGUUGAUGCUCCUGGGCUGGGCAGGAGGCACCUCUCCUUCCAGGCCGAGUACUGGGCCUGUGUGCUGCCGGACUCCUUGCCUCCUUCCCCCGACCGCCACUCCCCACUCUGGAAUCCGAAUAAGGAGUAUGAAGACCUGCUGGACUAUACUUACCCGCUCAGGCCCAAGCCUCACCUCCCAAAGCACCUUGACAGCCACAAGCUGGCUGAUCCUAUCUUGCAGGACUCGGGUGUAGACCUGGAUAGCUUUUCUGUUUCCCCCGCAAGUACCCUGAAGUUCCCUACUAAUGGCUCCCAGAAUUGCCCAUCAGCAGAGGCCUCUGCCCUGCCAUUCUCUAGGCCCAGAGAGCCGAGCCUUAUGCGGUGGCCCUCUGGAGCACCCCAGAAGCAGUGCAGUGUGGGGUUGGCAUCUUGUAACCAGCUCACUUCUACCCCCAGAGCCUCGGGCGGCAGAGACGCUCCUUGGGAGAGCAGAGAGCCAGCCCAGAGGUAUGUGAAGGACUGGCUGCCGAUGGACAAGCGCCCUGAGGAGGGCUCUCCCCAGCUGAGGACAUGCGACAGAGGCUGGCCCUUGCCCAGGACAGAGAGAGAGAAGGGGGCCAGCCAGGGUGGCGGGCACCCGGCCUGCACAGAGUCUAGAUGGAAACCAGAAGAGGAGGUGGAAAGUGAUGACGAGUAUCUCGCCCUGCCCGCUCGGCUGACACAGGUUUCUAGUUUGGUUUCAUGUCUAGGUUCUAGUCCUACCUUGGUGACCCUGCCCACUGGGUCUGCUGAAGGGCAGACCUCCCUCAACGUGUCAGACAGCGAUGGGCCUGCCUCCCUCCCGUCGGACUCCAGCCAGAGCCAUCUUCCUUCUGGGGCCGCCCUCAGGGGGUCCAGGGGCCCUGAGGGCCAGAACCACCGUUUGCUCUGCUCCUUCGUCCGUGCAAGGGGCUCUGCGGGGGAAGGCGGUCUGGGGAGCAGCCAGGCCCUGGGAGUCUCCUCUGGACCCCUGACAGCACACUCUUCUUUGCCAGCUGUGUGGGAUCAGCGUGCAUUCUUAGCCCCAGAUGGUGAUGGGCAGCCUCCUGGGAAAGGAGAGCCCGGAAAAGAAUCACUCGUGCAGUGUGUGGAGACGUUCUGCUGUCAGCUGGAAGAGCUGAUCGGCUGGCUGUAUAACAUAGCCGACGUUACCGACCACUUGAUUCCAUCCAAGUCCAAUCUUACAGGUCUCAAGUCUUCUCUGCAGCUUUACCGGCAAUUUAAGAAAGAUAUAGAUGAACACCAGUCCCUGACAGAGAGCGUCUUACAGAAAGGGGAGAUUCUUCUUCAGUGCCUCUUGGACAGCACUCCAGUGUUAAAGGAUGUUCUCGGGAGGAUCUCGAAGCAGCCCAGCGAGCUGGAGAGCCACGCAGAUCGCCUGUAUGAUGCCAUCUUAGCUUCCCUGGACAUGCUGGCUGGCUGCACCCUCAUCCCUGACCACACGACGGCGGCACACGGGAGCACCGACGUGAAGGGGAUUAGCCUGCAGGGAAUGAUAGGGAAAAGGAGCUGAGAGCAGAGGGGGUUCGUGCCCAGCGUGGGGCCGCCACUGCCUAACAUACUUUCCCUGAGACUUCCUCUCCUGCCACCAAAAUACGGUGCGUCACUCACAGACCUUCUAGGUGAGACUUCACUGGAGCCGAAAGUUAAGGAUAAAGGCAUCUUCUCAGGCAGAGAUGUAAUGUGUCGGCUAAAACCUGGCUGGUGGGAAACUUUCAGGAAGCCCUUGUAAGAGCCAUUUAUAACACUGAAAUCAAGGGGGAAACUUAACUCUAAUGUACUAACAAGUUUUAAAAUGCCUUUCUCUUCCCUGAA